CAUAGCUCACUGCAACCUCGAACUUCUGAGCUCAAACGAUCCUCCAACCUCAGCCUCCUGAGUAGCUGGGACUACAGGCGUGCACCAUCAUGCCCAGCUAUUUUUCAAAAAAAUUUUUGUAGAGAUGGAGAUCUGACUUUGUUGCCCAGGCUGGUCUCAAACUCCUAGCCUCAAGCAAUCCUCCCACCUCAGCCUCCCAAGGUUCUGGGAUGAUAGGUGUGAACCAUUGCAUCUGGCCCACCAGCUAAAUUCUUAACAUUUAAACUAUAAACAUUACAAUUUUUUGUUGCAGAACAAAAAUGAAAAGAAGAAAGAUGAAAAUACACUACAAUGUCACGGUCAUUUGCACCAGUUUCCUGUGUACAGCUCUGCUGCUCUACGCUCAUUUCUCAAUCAGGUUUUGUCUCUCUUUUUUGCAUUAAAAGCUGAGAGAGGAGCUAAAACUGCCCUGAGAAGCUCCCCCGGGACCCUGCCUGAUCAUCAGGGGAAUGGGGCCUACCUCAGCAGUCUACUUUCUUCAUUCAGCCCUAUAGCCUCAGGAGAGAAGUUUGUCUCGCUCAGAGGAAGCAGUGGCCGCUCUGUCCCAUACCCUGUCAGGCCAUUUCCCAUAGGAGACUGGACCUAGGGUGUGUGCUCAGGGUCCCAGUUUCUGCGGCGUUGAGCGGGUCCGGUACUCCUUUCCACACCAGGCUGAACCCCAAGGAAGCGAAUCCAUGUCCUCGUGGAAGAAUAGGCCCCAAAGUGCCAAGCAUCAGCCCCGUCAGUGCUGCCUGGAGAGCCGCCUGUGUCCUGCAGAACUUACACCCAUGCAAGAGUGCACCCACUCAGCAAAUGCGGGACACCGUCAGGAAGAACAAGACAUCCUUGCUUCAGCUUCCCUCCUGUCACCUUUCCACUUCCCUUUGGGGAAGGUGUGCCUGGGUUUGCACACGGACUGGGGCCCCAUCCCUGUUCCCCGCUGUGUGUGGCAGGGCAAGGGAAUGCAUUUUUAAAUACCUUUCAGGCUAGGAUUCCUUUUUUUUUUUUGAUGGCAUACUCUAACUCCAACAUUUCUUCUGUAAGUAUCACCAGUUAUUUUACUAAAAUCUAGAUUUCCCAAUCCAAGUGUUAGGAAGGUACUAUGCUGCUGCUGCUUUGGGGCUUUCUGUCUGGCAACAUCUAUAAACAGUGCAAUAGUGACUGUAGUCAGUUUCACGGUCUCAUGUCUGAAUCUUUUUUUUUUUUUUUUUGACAGAGUCCCACUCUGUCUUAGCCUCCCAAGUAGCUGGGAUUACAGGCGCCUGCCUCCACGCCCAGCUAAUUUUUUAUUUUUAGUAGAGAGGGGGUUUCACCAUAUUGGCC
rnacentral:lncRNA from 10 species